rnacentral:rRNA from 1 species
CGGGCUUGUAAGUCAGUGGUGAAAUACUGCCGCUUAACGGUAGAAUUGCCAUUGAUACUGCGAGUCUUGAGUAUGGUUGAGGUAGGCGGAAUGUGCAGUGUAGCGGUGAAAUGCAUAGAGAUUGCACGGAACACCGAUUGCGGAGGCAGCUUACUAAGCCAUAACUGACGCUGAGGCACGAAAGCGUGGGGAGCGAACAGGAUUAGAUACCCUGGUAGUCCACGCCGUAAACGUUGAUUACUCGUUGUUGGCAAUACAUCGUCAGCGACUGAGCGAAAGCAUUAAGUAAUCCACCUGGGGAGUACGUCAGCAAUGAUGAAACUCAAAGGAAUUGACGGGGGCCCGCACAAGCGGAGGAACAUGUGGUUUAAUUCGAUGAUACGCGAGGAACCUUACCUGGGCUUAAAUGUAUUGUGCAUAGAGUAGAAAUACUCUUUUCCUUCGGGACUCUUUACAAGGUGCUGCAUGGUUGUCGUCAGCUCGUGCCGUGAGGUGUCGGGUUAAGUCCCAUAACGAGCGCAACCCUCAUUGUCAGUUGCCAGCACAUAAUGGUGGGGACUCUGAUAAAACUGCCGGUGCAAACCGUGAGGAAGGUGAGGAUGACGUCAAAUCAGCACGGCCCUUAUGUCCAGGGCUACACACGUGUUACAAUGGACAGUACAGUGGGCAGCUACCACGCAAGUGGAUGCUAAUCUCCAAAACUGUUCUUAGUUCGGAUCGGAGUCUGCAACUCGACUCCGUGAAGCUGGAUUCGCUAGUAAUCGCACAUCAGCCAUGGUGCGGUGAAUACGUUCCCGGGCCUUGUACACACCGCCCGUCAAGC